rnacentral:rRNA from 1 species
GGUGUGUACUGGUCUUGAUGGAAGCUUACCUCUUGGUGGGUCGGCAUGCCCUUCGUUGGGUGUGUCGAUUAACCAGGACUUUUACUUUGAGAAAAUUAGAGUGUUCAAAGCAGGCUUUCGCCCGAAUACAUUAGCAUGGAAUAAUAGAAUAGGACGCGCGUCUUUAUUUUGUUGGUUUCUAAAUUCGCCGUAAUGAUUAAUAGGGAUAGUCGGGGGCAUUCGUAUUGCUUGGUCAGAGGUGAAAUUCUUGGAUUCUAGCAAGACGAACUACUGCGAAAGCAUUUGCCAAGGAUGUUUUCAUUGAUCAAGAACGAAGGUUAGGGGAUCGAAAACGAUCAGAUACCGUUGUAGUCUUAACAGUAAACUAUGCCGACUAGGGAUCGGACAAGCACAAUCUAUGACUUGUUCGGCACCUGAAGAGAAAUCUUUAAGUCUAGGUUCGGGGGGGAGUAUGGUCGCAAGGCUGAAGCUUAAAGGAAUUGACGGAAGGGCACCACCAGGUGUGGAGCCUGCGGCUUAAUUUGACUCAACACGGGGAAACUCACCAGGUCCAGACACAAUAAGGAUUGACAGAUUGAUAGCUCUUUCUUGAUCUUGUGGUUGGUGGUGCAUGGCCGUUCUUAGUUGGUGGAGUGAUUUGUCUGGUUAAUUCCGAUAACGAACGAGACCUUAACCUGCUAAAUAGACCCGGGGCCUUAGGGAACCGGCUGUCUUCUUAGAGGGACUGUAGG